rnacentral:rRNA from 1 species
UUAAGCGACUAAGCGUACACGGUGGAUGCCCUGGCAGUCAGAGGCGAUGAAGGACGUGCUAAUCUGCGAUAAGCGUCGGUAAGGUGAUAUGAACCGUUAUAACCGGCGAUUUCCGAAUGGGGAAACCCAGUGUGAUUCGUCACACUAUCAUUAACUGAAUCCAUAGGUUAAUGAGGCGAACCGGGGGAACUGAAACAUCUAAGUACCCCGAGGAAAAGAAAUCAACCGAGAUUCCCCCAGUAGCGGCGAGCGAACGGGGAGCAGCCCAGAGCCUGAAUCAGUGUGUGUGUUAGUGGAAGCGUCUGGAAAGGCGCGCGAUACAGGGUGACAGCCCCGUACACAAAAAUGCACAUGCUGUGAGCUCGAUGAGUAGGGCGGGACACGUGGUAUCCUGUCUGAAUAUGGGGGGACCAUCCUCCAAGGCUAAAUACUCCUGACUGACCGAUAGUGAACCAGUACCGUGAGGGAAAGGCGAAAAGAACCCCGGCGAGGGGAGUGAAAAAGAACCUGAAACCGUGUACGUACAAGCAGUGGGAGCACGCUUAGGCGUGUGACUGCGUACCUUUUGUAUAAUGGGUCAGCGACUUAUAUUCUGUAGCAAGGUUAACCGAAUAGGGGAGCCGAAGGGAAACCGAGUCUUAACUGGGCGUUAAGUUGCAGGGUAUAGACCCGAAACCCGGUGAUCUAGCCAUGGGCAGGUUGAAGGUUGGGUAACACUAACUGGAGGACCGAACCGACUAAUGUUGAAAAAUUAGCGGAUGACUUGUGGCUGGGGGUGAAAGGCCAAUCAAACCGGGAGAUAGCUGGUUCUCCCCGAAAGCUAUUUAGGUAGCGCCUCGUGAAUUCAUCUCCGGGGGUAGAGCACUGUUUCGGCAAGGGGGUCAUCCCGACUUACCAACCCGAUGCAAACUGCGAAUACCGGAGAAUGUUAUCACGGGAGACACACGGCGGGUGCUAACGUCCGUCGUGAAGAGGGAAACAACCCAGACCGCCAGCUAAGGUCCCAAAGUCAUGGUUAAGUGGGAAACGAUGUGGGAAGGCCCAGACAGCCAGGAUGUUGGCUUAGAAGCAGCCAUCAUUUAAAGAAAGCGUAAUAGCUCACUGGUCGAGUCGGCCUGCGCGGAAGAUGUAACGGGGCUAAACCAUGCACCGAAGCUGCGGCAGCGACGCUGAUGCGUUGUUGGGUAGGGGAGCGUUCUGUAAGCCUGUGAAGGUGUGCUGUGAGGCAUGCUGGAGGUAUCAGAAGUGCGAAUGCUGACAUAAGUAACGAUAAAGCGGGUGAAAAGCCCGCUCGCCGGAAGACCAAGGGUUCCUGUCCAACGUUAAUCGGGGCAGGGUGAGUCGACCCCUAAGGCGAGGCCGAAAGGCGUAGUCGAUGGGAAACAGGUUAAUAUUCCUGUACUUGGUGUUACUGCGAAGGGGGGACGGAGAAGGCUAUGUUGGCCGGGCGACGGUUGUCCCGGUUUAAGCGUGUAGGCUGGUUUUCCAGGCAAAUCCGGAAAAUCAAGGCUGAGGCGUGAUGACGAAGCACUACGGUGCUGAAGCAACAAAUGCCCUGCUUCCAGGAAAAGCCUCUAAGCAUCAGGUAACAUCAAAUCGUACCCCAAACCGACACAGGUGGUCAGGUAGAGAAUACCAAGGCGCUUGAGAGAACUCGGGUGAAGGAACUAGGCAAAAUGGUGCCGUAACUUCGGGAGAAGGCACGCUGAUAUGUAGGUGAAGUCCCUUGCGGAUGGAGCUGAAAUCAGUCGAAGAUACCAGCUGGCUGCAACUGUUUAUUAAAAACACAGCACUGUGCAAACACGAAAGUGGACGUAUACGGUGUGACGCCUGCCCGGUGCCGGAAGGUUAAUUGAUGGGGUCAGCGCAAGCGAAGCUCUUGAUCGAAGCCCCGGUAAACGGCGGCCGUAACUAUAACGGUCCUAAGGUAGCGAAAUUCCUUGUCGGGUAAGUUCCGACCUGCACGAAUGGCGUAAUGAUGGCCAGGCUGUCUCCACCCGAGACUCAGUGAAAUUGAACUCGCUGUGAAGAUGCAGUGUACCCGCGGCAAGACGGAAAGACCCCGUGAACCUUUACUAUAGCUUGACACUGAACAUUGAGCCUUGAUGUGUAGGAUAGGUGGGAGGCUUAGAAGUGUGGACGCCAGUCUGCAUGGAGCCGACCUUGAAAUACCACCCUUUAAUGUUUGAUGUUCUAACGUUGACCCGUAAUCCGGGUUGCGGACAGUGUCUGGUGGGUAGUUUGACUGGGGCGGUCUCCUCCUAAAGAGUAACGGAGGAGCACGAAGGUUGGCUAAUCCUGGUCGGACAUCAGGAGGUUAGUGCAAUGGCAUAAGCCAGCUUGACUGCGAGCGUGACGGCGCGAGCAGGUGCGAAAGCAGGUCAUAGUGAUCCGGUGGUUCUGAAUGGAAGGGCCAUCGCUCAACGGAUAAAAGGUACUCCGGGGAUAACAGGCUGAUACCGCCCAAGAGUUCAUAUCGACGGCGGUGUUUGGCACCUCGAUGUCGGCUCAUCACAUCCUGGGGCUGAAGUAGGUCCCAAGGGUAUGGCUGUUCGCCAUUUAAAGUGGUACGCGAGCUGGGUUUAGAACGUCGUGAGACAGUUCGGUCCCUAUCUGCCGUGGGCGCUGGAGAACUGAGGGGGGCUGCUCCUAGUACGAGAGGACCGGAGUGGACGCAUCACUGGUGUUCGGGUUGUCAUGCCAAUGGCACUGCCCGGUAGCUAAAUGCGGAAGAGAUAAGUGCUGAAAGCAUCUAAGCACGAAACUUGCCCCGAGAUGAGUUCUCCCUGACUCCUUGAGAGUCCUGAAGGAACGUUGAAGACGACGACGUUGAUAGGCCGGGUGUGUAAGCGCAGCGAUGCGUUGAGCUAACCGGUACUAAUGAACCGUGAGGCUUAACCUU